UUCACAAACUCUGGAUGGUACCUUUUCUCCAUUAAAAAAAAAAAGGACAGAGAGUCUAGGAUGAAAGUGUCUGAGAUGGUUUUGGUGAGUGUUGUGCUUAGUUUUUCCGUUAAAGAUUGCUUAAAUGGUUUCACCGAGCCAAGAAACACUCCGGCGUGGAGAGAAUUCACAACUUCAGCAAUCAUCAUUCUUGGAGCCAAAUGGUCAUGUUCAUGUUCUUGCCCCGUCUUCCGAAGCUGUGGAGUGUGACAAUGGUGUUUG